rnacentral:rRNA from 1 species
ACUGCUCAGUAACACGUGGAUAACCUGCCCUUGGGUCCGGCAUAACCCCGGGAAACUGGGGAUAAUUCCGGAUAACGCAUAUGUGCUGGAAUGCUUUAUGCGUCAAAUGGAUUCGUCUGCCCAAGGAUGGGUCUGCGGCCUAUCAGGUAGUAGUGGGUGUAAUGUACCUACUAGCCGACAACGGGUACGGGUUGUGAGAGCAAGAGCCCGGAGAUGGAUUCUGAGACAUGAAUCCAGGCCCUACGGGGCGCAGCAGGCGCGAAAACUUUACAAUGCGGGAAACCGUGAUAAGGGGACACCGAGUGUCAGCAUCAUAUGCUGGCUGUCCAGGUGUGUAAAAUACACCUGUUAGCAAGGGCCGGGCAAGACCGGUGCCAGCCGCCGCGGUAACACCGGCGGCCCGAGUGGUGAUCGUGAUUAUUGGGUCUAAAGGGUCCGUAGCCGGUUUGGUCAGUCCUCCGGGAAAUCUGAUAGCUCAACUAUUAGGCUAUCGGGGGAUACUGCCAGACUUGGAACCGGGAGAGGUAAGAGGUACUACAGGGGUAGGAGUGAAAUCUUGUAAUCCCUGUGGGACCACCUGUGGCGAAGGCGUCUUACCAGAACGGGUUCGACGGUGAGGGACGAAAGCUGGGGGCACGAACCGGAUUAGAUACCCGGGUAGUCCCAGCCGUAAACGAUGCUCGCUAGGUGUCAGGCAUGGCGCGACCGUGUCUGGUGCCGCAGGGAAGCCGUGAAGCGAGCCACCUGGGAAGUACGGCCGCAAGGCUGAAACUUAAAGGAAUUGGCGGGGGAGCAC